rnacentral:rRNA from 1 species
UACGUAGGGGGCAAGCGUUGUCCGGAUUUAUGGGGCGUAAAGAGCGUGUAGGCGGUCAGGUAGGUCCGUUGUGAAAACUCGAGGCUCAACCUCGAGACGCCGAUGGAAACCAUCUGACUAGAGUCCGGAAGAGGAGAGUGGAAUUCCUGGUGUAGCGGUGAAAUGCGCAGAUAUCAGGAAGAACACCCGUGGCUAAGGCGGCUCUCUAGUACGGUACUGACGCUGAGACGCGAAAGCGUGGGGAGCGAACAGG